rnacentral:pre_miRNA from 1 species
AAUAAGUGCAGCCGUGGAUAUCCGUGCCCAACGUUUGACCGUCCGUCUUAUUUGAAAAAUUUGAAAAUAUUUAGUCACACAAAAAAUACUAUUCAUGUUUUAUCAUCUAAUAGCAAUAAAAAUACUAAUCAUAAAAAAAUUUCAAAUAAGACGAACGGUUAAACGUUGAACGUGAAUAGUGCAAAACUACACUUAUU